AUGUAUGUUCGUGCUUGUACCUUUAAGAGGCAGUUACAUGAGGAUGCAUUGGGUGACUACAACAACUACUAUUCCAAUUCAUGCUCACUACCAUCGGUUGAUUCCUCCACUGUUGCACCUACUAGAGCAGCCACACCUCAGAUUGUGAGUGCGACAUCAUCUAAAGUGUAUGGUACAUUGUCAUUGUCCAUACCGACAUCAGCUACGUCUUUGCGACAAGGUAACAGUAAAGGUAUUGAUGAUAUAACUUCACAUGAGAAUGAUGCAUCCCUAAUUAACUUAAAUACAUCAUGUGUUGAGUUACCUGUUGAUUUGAGCACGCCACCUAUUUUAGAGAAUCAUGUUACUAUCAUGAAUGCAUCAUGUGAUCAAACAACUGAAAUACCAACAAUUUUGAGUGCGCCCAUUGAAUUAACUGUUGAUGUCAAAGAACCAAUAUUUAAUAAUUUUGAUAUGACCUCUAGUCUUGGUGAUCAUUCUGUGUCAAAUGACUUAUUGCAUGUUUUAUUAUUUAAGCAUGUUGUAGCAUGUAAAUUUGAUGCACGCAAGGUUUAUUCACCAAUGUUGGGAUGGUUUAAUGAUGAAUAUUGUCAAUCUUUUGAUAGGAAUAAGAGCUUCACUUAUAUGUGCAAACUGAGUUGCAAUAUUUUCAUGCCUUCUACUUAUGAUAAUAUUUUGGCUUUAUAUUUUAUGAUCUAUGAAAGUUACUCAUGUAUACAUGUGUCAUAUGUGCAAAAAUCAAGGGAAGUAAAAAUGGAUGACAUAUACAUAUACAACAUGUAUACCUUGUCUCUUUUGUUAGCCACAUUUCAGAUUAAGCAACGCCGAGGACGGCUUUGUUUUCAAAAAGGGGAGGAUGAUGAGGACAUGACUACCUUGGAUACGACCAAAAAUAUUGCAUACAUGGAUAUUUGUCAGGUGAUUUCUAGUGCAAACUAUUCAAUAAUCUAUCUAUGUUAUCCAGAACAAAAAUACUUCACACAUUUUUGUGUUUUGUCUAAUUGCAGGUGUAUGGGACAUUUGUACAAUUCACAUAUGAAGAUAAGGGAGAAAGAGAUUUUUACUUGCUGUUCAAAAAGUUCUCUCACGUCACUUUUGGGCCAAGAGAAGAUAGAGUCCAAGUCUCUCAUGUUCUGGAUUCACAUUCGGACUACACAGACAUACCUGACUCAAAACGCCAACAACUUUUUCAUACGGACUCCAAAUUGGGUGAUUCGUUUUUUGUUGGAAUCUAGAUUUUGUGCUCUUUCCAGCCCAAUUUGA
rnacentral:rRNA from 1 species